ACUCCAGGAAUGGAGGGACUGGUUGGAGGGCACUGUCCAUCCUUUCGUCAUCUCCAUGGACCACAGGAACCUAGCCUACAUCCGUACUGCUCUGCGUCUCAACCCCCCCAAGCACGGUGGGAUCUUUUUGUCACAACAUUUGAUUUUUGUCUCGUCUAUCGUCCAGGUUCUCUCAAAGGCAAGCGCGAUGCGCUGUCAAGAAUGUUUUCACCAGCUGCUGAAGAUCGCCUUCCGGAGGCCAUCUUUCCACAUUCCCGGAUUCUGGGUCUUUUCAGUUGAAAGUGGAGUCUGGCGGACGCCAUAAAGGACACUCUUUCUCCUGCCGGCUGUCCCUCAGGGCGUCUGUUUGUUCCCUCUUCGCUUCGCUCGUAGGUCUUGAUGUGGGCACACUGCUUUAGGUCGCCUGCCACCAAGGGGCAAGAAGAACUGCAUUCCUGCUGGCUCAACAUUUCUGGUGGCCAUUUCUGCUGGCGGAUACCAGAAGAUUUGUGGCAGCCUGUUAAGUCUGUGCCAGGAACAAGGCCUCUUACCAGGCUCCUGCAAGUCUGCUUUGACCCCUCCCAAUUCCUGCCUACCCUUUAUCGCACAUUGCCAUGGACUUUGUUACUGGACUUCCAGCUUCAAGGGGUUUUACGGUAAUUCUUACUAUUGUGUACAUAUUUUAUAAACUGAAGCAAUUUGUCUGACAGAGGCCCCUAGUUCUCCUCCAAGAUUUUGAAAGCUUUUUGUUUGUUCCUGGAUGCGACAGACAACUUGUCUUCUAGAUUCUAUCCUCAGUCUAACGACCAGACUGAACAGGCUAAUCAGGACCUGAAAGCGGUUUUGAAGUGUGUGUGUCACCAGCACUCAACUUCAUGGUCCUUCUAGAUGGCACUGGUGAAAUAUGCCCAUAACACACUCGUCUGAGCGUCCACCAACUUGUCUCCAUUUCAUGUGGCUAACAGCUUCCAGUCCCCAGCAUUCCCCCUAUCAGGAAGCAGAAUUGUCUGUCCCGUCGGUGGCUGCCCUUCUUUCAGGUGUGGCGUAACACCCGGGCCGCUCUGUCCCGGACGGCGAGGCGCAAUCAAAGACUGUUGGAUCAACAUCACACUCCAGCCCCUGACUACAAACCCGGCCAGAAGGUCUGGUUGUCGUCCCGGUACCUACCUCUAGUCGUGGAUUGCAAGAAAUUGGCACCUAGAUUUAAUGAUUGACGGCCAUCUCGCCUUUACUGUUAAGUCUAUUCUGGACUUCUGAAGGCGUGGCACGGGGGUUCAGUUUCUCGUGGAUUGGAAGGGAUUCCCAGACAAGCCAGAGAGACCCGAAGGUGGUGCCCGUUGAGUGAGGGGGAGGGUAAUACUGUCACACCCGCUGUGACACAGUUUGGAGGCGGAGUUUCGGGACUUCCACAGCUGUAUUCCAUUGAACCUGUCCCAUUUAUUCCCUUCAGCUGUGGCAGGAAGGCGCUGGCUACUGUUUGAGGUUGGAAGAAGUCUGUUUUCAUGUCUCUGACUUGUAAGGGUCCUAUCCUGUCCUGCGCCUUCCUGCCCGUCCCCGCAGCUCGCCUGUUUGCCUACUCAUCUGGUGCUUUGAGUUUUUUUUGUGCUUGAUCCUUUUUCCCGCGGUGCUAUUUUUAUUGUUACUGGCACCAUAGUUUUUUGUUAUUGCGAUCAGUAACA